UACUGCUAAUAUAGGAAGCUUACCGGGAACAUUUAUUCGAUGGCAUAGAACAUCAGAAACUUCCUAAAAUGAUGACUUUAUUGGCUAUCAACCACCACAAGGUUCUGUGGAUGAAGGCACAGCUAAUAGUGACAACCAGUGUGGAUAUACACGAGAAGCUUCAAUCAGAUACAACACAACAGCAGCUGAUGCUAAUAGAGAUAACAAUCUGGCUUUUGAAUGUUACGUUUUAGUUUUCGGAGAUCCGUAUCCGGGGAACACUUAUAUCUCUGAAAACAAUCCGAGAUUUUAUACUGACGUCAAUAACCCUAGUUAUGGAGAUACAGAUAGUACAACAGAUGGAAACGAGAUAAGUAUAACAGCAGGAGCUAUCGCCGCGAUUGUCAUUGCCUCACUCAUUGUUGGUGUUCUAAUCGGUGCGGUUUUUACAUGGGUUGUUUUAAAUAGAAAACGGACAGUAACAGGUCUGAAGAAUCAAAAUCAACAUCAGCCAACAUCAGUGUCACGCGGCACAGAAUUAAAUGGUUCGUCACUUUCACCAAAUACCUACGAACAAUUUCAAAAUAGAACAGAAACUGAAAGCAGGAUGGCUUAUGAUUCUCUAAAUGCUGCUUCAGCAAAUUCCAGCACAGUACCAGACAGCCAAUCACAGUAUGAGAGUCUUAAACAUGGAGGAGGAGGGACAUCUCACACUUACGCAGGUCUAAAUAACAACCAAUAAAAUUUGAAAGAUCUACCUCGGCUGUUUGGACUACUCACCUUGCCAUAUAUGCUCUAGAUUUAAAUUUUGGACACAAUCUUUAAUUGUCUUUAAUUUUUAGAUUUAUUCGUACACACAAUGAACAUUAUAAAGGGAUUUGAUUUUUCAGGAGAUUACUCCGAGCAAAUGAAGUUAUUCGAGCAAUCCUAGUUCGACCAAACGGAGUCUAGUUGUAGUUGUGUAGAUAUGACAGGGAAAAUCAAAUGUGUUGUCAUCUGUUACCUUAUCAAUUUGAUAACCAGGCUUUAUUAAGAAGAAAUUUUU